GACGAACGCUGGCGGCGUGCUUAACACAUGCAAGUCGAACGGAAAGGCCCUGCUUUUGUGGGGUGCUCGAGUGGCGAACGGGUGAGUAACACGUGAGUAACCUGCCCUUGACUUUGGGAUAACUUCAGGAAACUGGGGCUAAUACCGGAUAGGAGCUCCUGCUGCAUGGUGGGGGUUGGAAAGUUUCGGCGGUUGGGGAUGGACUCGCGGCUUAUCAGCUUGUUGGUUGGGUAGUGGCUUACCAAGGCUUUGACGGGUAGCCGGCCUGAGAGGGUGACCGGCCACAAUGGGACUGAGAUACGGCCCAGACUCCUACGGGAGGCAGCAGUGGGGAAUAUUGCACAAUGGGCGGAAGCCGGAUGCAGCAACGCCGCGUGCGGGAUGACGGCCUUCGGGUUGUAAACCGCUUUCGCCUGUGACGAAGCGUGAGUGACGGUAAUGGGUAAAGAAGCACCGGCUAACUACGUG
rnacentral:rRNA from 1 species